rnacentral:rRNA from 1 species
CUACGGGAGGCAGCAGUGGGGAAUAUUGCGCAAUGGGCGGAAGCCUGACGCAGCGACGCCGCGUGGGGGAUGACGGCCUUCGGGUUGUAAACCUCUUUCGCCAGGGACGAAGCUUUUGUGACGGUACCUGGAGAAGAAGCACCGGCCAACUACGUGCCAGCAGCCGCGGUAACACGUAGGGUGCGGGCGUUGUCCGGAAUUAUUGGGCGUAAAGAGCUCGUAGGCGGUGUGUCGCGUCGGCCGUGAAAACUUGGGGCUUAACUCUGAGCGUGCGGUCGAUACGGGCAUCACUUGAGUUCGGCAGGGGAGACUGGAAUUCCUGGUGUAGCGGUGAAAUGCGCAGAUAUCAGGAGGAACACCGGUGGCGAAGGCGGGUCUCUGGGCCGAUACUGACGCUGAGGAGCGAAAGCGUGGGGAGCGAACAGGAUUAGAUACCCUGGUAGUCCACGCCGUAAACGUUGGGCGCUAGGUGUGGGGACCAUUCCACGGUUUCUGUGCCGCAGCUAACGCAUUAAGCGCCCCGCCUGGGGAGUACGGCCGCAAGGCUAAAACUCAAAGGAAUUGACG